rnacentral:rRNA from 1 species
AACGAACGCUGGCGGCAUGCCUAACACAUGCAAGUCGAACGAGACCUUCGGGUCUAGUGGCGCACGGGUGCGUAACGCGUGGGAACCUGCCCUUAGGUUCGGAAUAACUCCCCGAAAGGGGUGCUAAUACCGGAUAAUGUCUUCGGACCAAAGAUUUAUCGCCUUUGGAUGGGCCUGCGUUGGAUUAGCUAGUUGGUAGGGUAAAAGCCUUCCAAGGCGACGAUCCAUAGCUGGUCUGAGAGGAUGAUCAGCCACACUGGGACUGAGACACGGCCCAGACUCCUACGGGAGGCAGCAGUGGGGAAUAUUGGACAAUGGGCGAAAGCCUGAUCCAGCAAUGCCGCGUGAGUGAUGAAGGCCUUAGGGUUGUAAAGCUCUUUUACCCGGGAUGAUAAUGACAGUACCGGGAGAAUAAGCUCCGGCUAACUCCGUG